CCUACGGUGGGCAGCAGUGAGGAAUAUUGGUCAAUGGGCGCAAGCCUGAACCAGCCAAGUCGCGUGAGGGAAGACGGCCCUACGGGUUGUAAACCUCUUUUGCCGGGGAGCAAGCCUGAGCACGUGUGCCCAGGCGGAGAGUACCCGGAGAAAAAGCAUCGGCUAACUCCGUGCCAGCAGCCGCGGUAAUACGGAGGAUGCGAGCGUUAUCCGGAUUUAUUGGGUUUAAGGGUUGCGCAGGCGGGUUGUUAGGUAGGCGGUAAAAGUUCAGGGCUCAACCCUGUCGUGCCGUCGGAACUGGCAGUCUUGAGUGGGCGAGAAGUAGGCGGAAUGCGUGGUGUAGCGGUGAAAUGCAUAGAGAUCACGCAGAACGCCGAUUGCGAAGGCAGCAUACCGGCGCCCAACUGACGCUGAGGCACGAAAGCGUGGGGAGCGAACAGGAUUAGAUACCCGGGUAGUC
rnacentral:rRNA from 1 species